CUUAGCAGCGAACGGGUGAGUAACACGUAGAUAAUCUAUCCUAUACUGGGGGAUAGCCCGAUGAAAGUUGGAUUAAUACCGCAUAUAGCUAUAUAGUUGCAUGAUUAUGUAGUGAAAGAUUUAUUGGUAUAGGAGGAGUCUGCGGCACAUUAGCUAGUAGGUGAGGUAAAGGCUUACCUAGGCGACGGUGUGUAGCCGGUCUGAGAGGAUGAACGGCCACAAUGGAACUGAGACACGGUCCAUACUCCUACGGGAGGCAGCAGUGGGGAAUAUUGCACAAUGGGGGAAACCCUGAUGCAGCAACGCCGCGUGAGUGAAGAAGGUUUUCGGAUUGUAAAGCUCUGUUAGCAGGGAAGAGGAAGGACGGUACCUGCAGAGGAAGCCACGGCUAACUACGUGCCAGCAGCCGCGGUAAUACGUAGGUGGCAAGCGUUGUUCGGAAUAACUGGGCGUAAAGGAUGCGUAGGCGGUUAAACAAGUUAUAUGUUAAAUAUAUAGGCUUAACCUGUAGAAAGCAUAUAAAACUGUUUAACUAGAGUGCAGGAGAGGUAAGUGGAAUUCCUAGUGUAGCGGUGAAAUGCGUAGAGAUUAGGAAGAACACCAGUGGCGAAGGCGACUUACUGGACUGUAACUGACGCUGAGGCAUGAGAGCAUGGGGAGCAAACAGGAUUAGAUACCCUGGUAGUCCAUGCUGUAAACGAUGGGUACUAGGUGUGGGUUGUGAAUAACAAUUCGUGCCGUCGCAAACGCAAUAAGUACCCCGCCUGAGGAGUACGAUCGCAAG
rnacentral:rRNA from 1 species